rnacentral:rRNA from 1 species
GUGAGGAAUAUUGGUCAAUGGGCGGGAGCCUGAACCAGCCAAGUCGCGUGAAGGAAGAAAGAUCUAUGGUUCGUAAACUUCUUUUGCAGGGGAAUAAAGUGCAGGACGUGUCCUGUUUUGUAUGUACCCUGAGAAUAAGGAUCGGCUAACUCCGUGCCAGCAGCCGCGGUAAUACGGAGGAUCCGAGCGUUAUCCGGAUUUAUUGGGUUUAAAGGGUGCGUAGGUGGUUUGAUAAGUCAGCGGUGAAAGUUUGUAGCUUAACUGUAAAAAUGCCGUUGAAACUGUCGGACUUGAGUGUAAAUGAGGUAGGCGGAAUGCGUGGUGUAGCGGUGAAAUGCAUAGAUAUCACGCAGAACUCCGAUUGCGAAGGCAGCUUACUAAGCUACAACUGACACUGAAGCACGAAAGCGUGGGGAUCAAACAGGAUUAGAUACCCUGGUAGUCC